GUUUCAGGGCGGGGUGAGAUUCCCCACCGGCGGUAUAGCCCGCGACCACCCUCCCAAAAGGGGUGCUGACCCGGUGAGACUCCGGGGCCGACGGUAUAGUCCGGAUGAAAGAGA
rnacentral:ncRNA from 1 species